UCUAAUAUGGCAGACUAGUGCAAUGAAUUUAAGCUUCAUACAUAAAGAUAUAUAUCUUUUAUUAGAA
rnacentral:tRNA from 18 species